rnacentral:lncRNA from 1 species
GCUGUGCAAACCUCCGUGCAAACCCCCAUAUGAAACACAUGGAUUUUCCGAAAUGCCGGAAAGGAAGGAGCAUCCCUUGCUCUCAGCUCGUGGAAGCGCUCGUGGAAGUCCGGCUAUCUCGGGAGAGACGGCCCAUUGCAGCGAGGUGUCCUCCAAGUCUUGUACAAUUCGCUCCUCCUGCAGAGCCUUUUCCAUGCCUCCUGCUCCUACUGCAACAGUCUUGAAAGGAGAAGCUUUACUGUUAUCCCUGGCAAUGUUUUAAAGAGCAUUAAAUUCAUACCAUCCAAAUAUCUUUCUAACUGUGAUCCCCAUCCUUCUCUGCUUUUCAGCUGUCUGGAAAACCUGCGAGAUAGUAAGGGAGCCUCUGCCAUGGCUGAGAAGCAGCGCAAAAUCCUAACUGAGCUGAAACAGGAGCAGGCAGAAAUCCAGCACCUGCAAAAUAUCUGCAAGGCAGCCCAUCAAGAAAGGAAGCUUUUAUUAAAGCAGCAAAGAGAAAUCUUAAUGAUGCGGCGUUCAACAGCACAACUUCAGGAAGAGCUGAAUAACUUGACUGGGAAGCAAGAGUUUACUAGGAGGCCAGCAACUGAAGAAGCAAUAAAGCAGAAGACAAUGAGACUGAUUUCCAGCCCAAUGUUAUGUUCCAUCUCAGCAAAAUCUACAGCACAGUUAGAAAGGCCUGGUCUGUCAGGGAACAGAGAGAGUUGUGUCCAGCUAAAGAAUAAACAAAGCAAGACAUUUGAGGGCCUUUCUACUGAAAACAAGAAACCAUUGGUACAAUACCAAAAACGGGCAGAGGAGUCCCCAGGUUCGGAGCAGUCCCUUGGUGUGCAAGCUCCUGGUGUGUCUGAAACAGUGGACAAAAACCUGUGUGAUGCCACUGGUCAAAACACAGGCUUGCUCUUUAUGGUUAGAGAUCACAAUAGCACAGAGCUUAGUGCCCAGGAUCAUGUUUUCUUAAAUCUGGAACAUGCAAAUUCAGCUAGAAUAGAUGAAGCUAUAUCCACACCCAUUCCAAGAGAAGGCAAAAAGUAUGCAUUACCGGUAAGAAAAUCAUCUCUGGAAUUCCAUUUCUGCCUGAAGAAAUGUGCCCCAGGUUAUAUUCAUAUUAAGACAAGACCAGAACAAGGCUCUUUUAACAGUUAUGAACAUCAACUAGAAAUUAAUUAAUCAGUGUGUUGAUUUCCUGCACUAGCACAAAGCUGAGGACAGAAUUUUGACAUGGGCUGGUUUACCACAACGUUCCCG